GUCCUCUGCCACCGUGGUCUGGGCGGCGGCGCGCCGGCCGGGAGUUGAGUUGCGCGAGAGAAGUGGGACCGCGGCUGCGGUGCGUCUGUCACUUUCAUUACUCCGCCGCUUGGGCAGGAGCUCGCUAAAUCCAAGGGCCAAAGCCAGACCGCUGCCCUUGGACUUUGAGCUAGUAUGCGCCGUUAGAUUAGCAUAGUUUAAUAGAGUGCAAAGCAGAACUUACAGUGGUUUCCAGGAGCAUCAAGCCUCCACGCAAGCUAGUCACCACCACCCUUUGGGCCUGGUGAUCUUUUACAGCAUCUGGAGAUCCUGGGCAAAAGAAGGAAGAAACAGUUUCAGAUUACAGAGCUCACUUAGAAACACAGUGAAGCAUUCUGGACUCAAAAUACAUCAAAGACUAUUUCCUGCCACAACUAAAAUGCCAGAAAAACCAGGCAGCCAUAAACCCUGUCAGGGAGGAUAGACUCCCACAACUAUGACUUUCCAGUUAUUUUCUAGCAGUUUCUACAGGGAACAGACACUAAAGGACCUGAAAUUGGUCCAGUAGAAGACUUCAAAAGGAAAACAAAGGGCUUUAUGGAUCUGGUAUGGCAUAUAGACUCACUGAAAUAACUCUUGGGAUUAUCUUUUUAAUCUGUAUACUUCAUGCUACCUUAACAGCUGCAGGAGUAAGAAGGCGAUCUGCCUGCAUCAUUAUGUCUGAGAUGAGCAUCACCACAGUUGCUUUCUUCCCCAAGAAACUGCAGAGGGUAGAGCAGAACUAACCCAAACUGAAGUUGUAUCAAUUUGCAAGUUUGGAUAUGAUGUGUGAUUUGGUAUUACAGUUGGUUCUUCUGCAAAAAUAAGAAGCAAUGUCAAACAAGUCCAGAAGAGAUUUAACCCAUUUGUGACAUCAAUUGAAGACCAGAUCUUUAGGACUCUGCCAGUUUGUUAAUUGGUAUGUGUCCCAUCCUGUUACCAGUUACCUAUUGGCUCAACAGUCAUUCAUGAAUUAACCAAUUUGUAUAUGGAAUAGUAAACACAAGUUUCACCUAAGAAGUAAUUGAUUGAGCAUAUACAAUGGUCUCCAUUUAUAUCCAAGCAACUACGUAUAACACUACCUGACAUAAACAAUUCACGAAUAGUACGGUUUUACUUCAUCCUGUUGCUAGUGAAAUUUCUGCUUUCUUGAAGGCCUCAAAAAAUGUCAAAAACAAUUGGAUUCUGUUUGGAGCAAUCCAACGUUGUGCAAUUCUAGAAUUAUCACUUCAAAAGGUCCCCAACCACUAUAUUGCUACAGACAACUAGAUGAAAAAGCAUUCCAUUCUAUAAUGCUUUUGUUCUUCCUGAGAGGACACUAGAAGCAAGUUUAAGAGUCUCUUUACUUGCCAUUGCUUCUGAUCAGAGGAUCACUUACAUAAGUAACCAACAUGGUUUGGUUCUAAAUGAUUAAAAAAUAUUGGUGGAAUAAUUGUCCUAAGAUUGCUAAAAUGAUUUAUAAUCAGUUUUUGGUUCUUCAAACCCAUAAUUCUGGGAAGACAACAAAAACUUCUGAUGGUGCAUUUCCACCACCUGAUGGACCCUUUGAACAUUUCAGAGUUUGAUUCAGUUGACACCCUCAAUGUAUGUUUUAGUCAGCUUUUUCACUGCUGUAACUAAAAGGACCUGACCAGAAAAAUAGAGGAGAAAAAGUUUAUUUGAGGGCUCACAGUUCCAGAGGUCUUAGUCCAUAGAAGGCUAGCUCCAUUUUCCCAGCUUGAGGUGAGGCAGAACAUCAUGGUAGAAGAGUGUGGCAGAGGGAAGCAACUCACAUGGUGAUCAGAAAGCAGAGAGGGAGACUCCACUUGCCAGAUACAAAUUGCCCCACCUCCUCCAUACCAUUCCUGUCUUCAGCUACCACUCAGUUAAUUCCUAUCAGGAGAUUAAUUCACUGAUUGGGUUAAGGCUUUCACAACCCAAUCAUUUCUUCUCUGAGCCUUCUUGCAUUGCCUUACACAUGAGCUUUUGGGGGAUGCCUCACAUCCAGAUCAUAACAAUGAGUAUCUAGUAUGUUCUUGUAAUAGUGUAUUUUCUGUUAGGAUGGAAACUUUCCCAAAUAAGAAAGCCAAUGCUGUGACAUUAUGUAAGAAACAACUAGAAAAUGUGUUUCCUUUAUAGGACAUCCCUGGAGAAAUUUCCAGUGACAGAGAAACCCAAUCCAUUGGACGUAUUAUGAGGCAAUUAAGUAAGAUGAACUGUUUUAGUCGUCUUUUCAUUGCUGACUAGAACAACUGAGAGGAGGGAAAGUUUAUUUGGGUCUCACAGUUUCAGAGAUCUCGGUCUAUAUACAGCUGACUCCAUUGCUCUGGGUCCAAAGUGAGGCAGCACAUCAGGGGGGAAGGGCCCAGUGGAGGAAAGCAACUUAUGUCAAGGCAGGUGUAGGAAGUGACCACAGGGGACAUGCACCAUUUCAAGGUAUGCACCCAGAGACCAACCUCUAGCAGUGCCCUUCCUGCCUGUAGUUGCUCCCCAGGUAAGUCCAUUCAAACUAGGAUGAACUUCAGCUGUAAAUCUAAUCACUUCACCUCAAAUAUUCCUUCAGAAACAGGAGCUUUGGGAAGACACCUCAUCAAAACCAUAAUGUGAACACAAGAGUAUUUUAAAAUUGAAAUUAGUAAAGUCAACCACCUGUAUUGCCUUGGCCAAAGGUGUUACCACUGGCUUUAAUGGCAGUCCUACCCACUCCCAACUGACAAAUGUAGAUUGACAUUUUAUGAAGAUCCAUGCCCAAUUUGUUAAUAACAGCUCAAACAUCUACUAUCCUGAAUUCUGAUAUAAGUGCUGUAAACCUUAAAUGCCAGAGUGUAUUUUCAUCCAGAAAAAGAAACUUUUCGUGACCUACCACGUGAUGGUAACUACACUUCUCAAAAUCUACAAACUAGAGACUGCAUUUUCUAGAAGUGACAUCAGAGAAAGAUUGCUCUUGAACCUUAUUGGAAGGACCCUACCAGGUUGUCAUUCACACUGCAGCAUAGUUUCAAGACCUUGAAUGUUGGUUCUGCAUCUCACAACUCAGAAGGACCCCUCCUGACACCUGGAACUGUACACCUGUUGAAGACUUUAAAAUAAAACCAGGGGAAUUUUUUUCUGAGAAGCGUGGCAACAUAAGAUGUGAUAGCUUUCCCAAGAGAGCAGAACAAAAUUUCUCUGUCACCAUAAGGCCUUUCCUCCUAUUUUUCUGCCAUUCUAACCCCCUUCCCUUUUUCACACAGGGAAUUCCACAGGACAGUAAUCUUUGGAUGGCUUUAAUGUAGCAAAACUGUGUGAUCUUGCAAGAAACCAGAGUGAUUGUGGGUUCGUGUAAAAAAAAAAAAAAAAAAAAAAAUCAGAAAACCAUUCUCUUAGUGCCAGUACCUCUUGAUAUUCCAAACAAGAAACAGGAAAGGAAUAAACUCCAAAAGAAUAGAAUGGUAUUGUAUUCCUUGAAGUUUUAAUUGUCACUACUUUUUUCUUCCCUCUGCUUGUGAGAGGUAGUACUCCAGCCUUUCUGCUCAGUAGCCUGAUUGUUAACAGGUAUAGAAAAACUGGUUGGUAUCUGCAUGAAGUAUCCACUUACUCUGUUCUGCCUUAUCAUUAGUUUUGAUCUUGUUAUUUGGCCUGGCUUACUCUUGCUUUCUAAAUAGAUUUUCUUAAAAUUUUUCAGAACAUUUCCCUUUAUCAAAUGUCUAAGUGGUCUAUAACUGAAAUUAGUACCUCUCUUGAAAUAGGACAAAUUAGUUUCCACUGAGGAGAGGUUCCAGUGGUUCUUGGGGACUCACUUUUGGCAAUAGUGAAGUGCGAGAGGCAUGGAAUUUAAAACUAACUCAUAGCUUGGGAGCAGUUUCAAACUUUACAGCCUA